rnacentral:rRNA from 1 species
GCAAGUCGACUGGAAUUCUUCUUCGGAAGAUAGUACGGUGGCGGACGGGUGAGUAACGCGUAAAGAAUUUGCCCUUCAGACUGGGACAACUAAUCGAAAGGUUAGCUAAUACCGGAUAUUAUGAGACCUUGGCAUCAAGGACUUAUGAAAGCUAUAUGCGCUGGAGGAGAACUUUGCGUUCCAUUAGCUAGUUGGUGGGGUAACGGCCUACCAAGACGAUGAUGCAUAGCCGACCUGAGAGGGUGAUC